rnacentral:lncRNA from 1 species
CUGAACCCUUAUCAGUAAAAGUUUAUCCGGAGUCAGAGAACAGGGAAUGGCACUCGACGCAAAAAUCGGGCGAGGCCCAGCCCUAGAUGUGGGUUCAUCUACAGUGUGGGGGUUUUGGGGGACCAAACAAAGGCCCUAAAAAUCCUGGAACCACUAGAGGCGGAGGUACCGAAAGAUAUUUCAAACAAAGGCCCUAAAAAUCCUAGAAAAAUCAGGCGGGAUAAGAGGUGAAAGGUUUGCGGGGGACCAAACCAGAGGAAUGUGGCAGAAGAAAAAUGGAGGAGAAAGGGCACCU